CAUACAUUAUUUUUCAGUUAUAACUUGUUGAUUCCUUGAGUGAGGAUUUCUCAAUCCAUUUAAAGAACUUAUGAAUCAGUAUGUGCGUUCAAAUUGGUUGCGUGCUUAUGGUUUCAAAUAGAAAUGAUUGAUAUUUAACUCUCUACUUCUUUUAGUGCAACCUUGAAAUACUAGGCAAUACAUUAUGAAGCAAAAACCAUAGCAUCUCUACUAAUGCAAUGUACACACCAAAUGGUAGAUUCUCACCAAGCCAAAUAGUUAAACAAACACAACAAACCGAAAAAAUAGUAUAGGCCUUCAAAGAAAUGACCCUAUUCAGGCUAUUGAGUUUCUUUACCUUGGAGGUAUGAACUCGUACCCGGAUUUCCCAAGGACGCGCUGCAACCCAACGCUCCGUCCAGCUCCAACCCCAGCUUUCCUUACCGAGACUAUAGGAAGCCUGACCGAAAUAUUGGCUACAGUUUGGCCUCCACUGCAAUAAUUAAGGCAUGCUUUUAGAAAUGUUUCUGUUACAUCUCUUCUAUGUGCUAAAUCAGUGUUUAGGUGUGAAAAAAUGUGGUGGAAUUCUUUGUAACAAUUGGUAUGUGAUGUGCUGCAAGUUGAUCAAGGUUUGUACCUGAUGAGAGAAGGCAUAUGCCAUGGCUCGCUCGCGUUUAAUUGCGGCUUCUUCUCUCUGAUAUAACCUUGAAAUUAUCUCUUCCAUUGUUUCUGAACCGCCGCACCAUUCCACCUAGCAUGCAUUUUACCAAACAGCAUUACAAGAAACAGAGAGAAGUGAUGGCUGCUAUUUUGAUAACCCCAUCAAAAUCGACAGAAACCAAGUCAUUGCGAGAAGAUGGUUGAAACAAUGUGUACCUCUAGCUGAUGAAUCUUAGCUUCGAGUUUUAGCUGGCUUUCCAAUCUCCGUUGCUUAACACGAGCUUCUGUUAUCAUACAGAUUCUGCGAGCUUUAAUCUCGUCUUGUAUUCUGCUCCAUGAAUGUAUAUAGCUUAAUGCAGUUGCUGUUUGCUCUCUGGCCAGGUGAUCUUGAAUCAAAGCUUCAAAUUUCUCUGCUCCCUUUAGAUGGUUUAAUGUUCUUCUUGCCUGCAUAGUAUGCGAGAAGGGGUAUCAUUUAAUGUUCUUAGAGAAAUAUUUGGUGUACUCAU